UUAUUCUACUUGUCUGCUGGGUGUGGCAGGAAAAACAUUUUUUUAAUAUAAUUAUUAAGAUUUCCUGUGUUCACAGUGGAAUACAGUGUGGUUUAUGAAUGUGUAUGAAACAUACAUUUUAUUGAUUUUAAAACAUUGGAAUAAUCCAUAGGACGAUUUGUUUUUUAAUUUGCAGUUUUAAUGCUUAAAUGUUGAGGGUUUGUAGCUUUAGUUCGCUGUGACAGUCAGAGAGCCGUGUCUCUCUGACUGUCAGAGGUUUUUGUACGGUGCCUCAAUGAGUUUGUAUCACUGUGGUGGACUUUUGGUGGAGGAACCAGACUGAAUGUUGGAAGUGAUACCCGUCCCAUCCUGACAGUGUUGCCCCCUCCAGUGAGGAGCUACAGCAGGGGACUGCAACAAUCACAUGUCUGGCCAACAAGGGCUUCCCCUCAGACUGGAGUCUGUCCUGGAAGGUGGAUGGCAGUGGCAGCAUCAGCUGGGAGGAGAGCAGGAGCCCCGUGGUGCUGCAGAAUGACGGCCUCUACAGCUGGAGCAGCACCCUGAGGCUCCCUGCAGACCGCUGGAUGAAGGUGGGCUCUGUGACCUGUGAGGCCACCCAGGGCUGCCAGACUCUGGUCUCAGAGCCACUGAGGAGAGUCCAGUGUUCCCAGUCCUGACCUGACUCAACCUGAUACUGGUUUAAUGCUCUCAUUCUCAACUCUGUAACUGUCUCUCCAUCUUUCUUUUUUAAGAACAAAUAAAGACUAAAACUGUUAUUUUCUUUCUCAUAAUGACAACAUUCAUGUUUUAGGUAAUAAAGAUGUUUUGCAAAGUGAA